AAUCUAGACAUUCAUACGGCAGUCAAGUAUUUCUGGGACCAUCAGUGCCAUUUGGCACCGAAGGAUGGGAGAGUCGACAUUGGUGGGAAUGUUCAAGUAUUACCUCACAUUAUUACAUCAAACGUCGAACAUGACUCGGUGCACCUGGUGGUAGAAAAUCUGGUCAAGGAGGGAAAAGCAAAAGCUACAUUUUUGCCUGUUUCCAAAGUAACUGGAUGCAUUCAAAUUGAUGAUGUAACAAAGCUGCUAUUGGGCCAAGCACCUGCCUUAUUUUUAUGCUAAUAAUGAAACAAGACUUCUCAUGCCGAUUGCAGAGAUGUAUCAGCGAGUGAAGAUUGUAAAUCACCAGAGAGGCAAGCAAACAUCCAAGAUUCUGCUACAUACAGACGUCGCCCAGGCACUUGGCAAACUGCAAGUUGAUGUGCAGGAUCUUGGUGUGGAUUACUUUACCGUUGUGGGACACAAGGUAAAACAUCCCCCUUGUAGACAUGUUGACAUUUUUUUAAAUUGCUGAUGCCUGAAAUCUGAAACAAAACUAGAAAAUAUUGAAUACUCAGUAGGCCAAGCUGAAUGGGAAGAGAAACAGUCAUCAUACCUUUCUUCCUCUCCUGAUAAUGCCUUUUUUGUGCAAUCUCACCCUCGAUGUCCAACACAGAGCAUCGCCAAGAAUCAAAUGAAUUCUCAACAAACAAAAAUCUUUGGAUCAUACAGGCAUGGAGAACUUUCAAAUACAUGUUGUACACUUUGUAAAAUCACUGCCUUGGCAUGUUUCUCUCAAACCUAAAAACUUAUUCAAUCUUCAACGUACAGUCUUUGUGCACAAUUUAAUUUUAGGAACUACUUUGACUAUUCUGAUUAUUUUACCUAUAAUAAGGAGGCAACUCUGAUCAACAGCAAUAAUUUAACAUAGAAAGGUGUCACAAAACACUUGAGUUCUAUUGCAGGGAACAGAAGAUAUUAGGAAGGGUGAUAUAAAAGUCUGGUUGAAGAAGGGAGUUUUUAUCUAAAGCUCAAAAGCUCAAAAUACAAGUUUUUCUGCUUUCUCCAAAGAGCAGACAGCUUGUGGUUUCUGUUUUAAUUUUAUGGUUCACUGAAUUAGAAAGCUGUCAGGAAUACAUAUACACACAAUGAGUGCUGUAUGAAAAUUAGAAAAUAUCAAAUUCUUCAGUCUAGUUUGUCUGUACCUUUUUUGUCAGACACAGAAAUGCAUAAAUUCAUAUUCCAAUCCUGCUUCAUUUAAUUUCUCCAUUGAUGUCAAUUAAAAAGAUAACCUGAAGAGCGCUGUUAUUGUUUUCCUUUCCAGGCCAAUUCAUGACUGUACACGUUCAUACCAACAUGUGAGAAAGUUAAUAGCUCUUCCAGUUUACUACGCCUAACUUAGAAUGCUCAUCACUUCACUGGAAAUUGGUUUAGAAUAUAUUAUCUUUGGUGUUAUGGUUGGUAUGACAUGGAACCUGCAUGGCAUGAUUUGUUUGGAAACCAUCCAAACAAAACAUUUCAUUAUAUUAAGGUACAUGUGACAGUAGUAUAUCAGAACCAAACACACAAAUCAUAUUUCUAUAUAUUUUCAGCACAGAGAACACUCCAAUGGUUGCAGGUCUCAAGAAGGUAAAUUACGCUUUAAAGCAUGCCUUUUGUUACUAAUGUUGAGCAAGUUAUAUCCUAGACAUGGCAAGCGUAAUUAAACCUUACUUCACUUUGAAUCUGUGAUGGAGCAAUAGUCUUUACUGCUGUUAUCUGUGCACCAGUUCACAUACAAAUUCAAAGACAGAUGAAUCAAGCCUUUCAUUCUUCUCUUCAAACUCAGACCAUGCAAUUGAACAUUGACAUUGACUAAAUAUGAGUGAGCUCCUGUGUGCAUUAUGAUGUAUAUUUCUGAUCAACAACAUUGUUAAAAAACACAUACAGAGAAGGGGAUAGAGGAAGCUCAAAGAUUCUAUCUAAUGAACAUCGAAAGUAGGUGAUUCAGGUUUGAGUUUACGAUGGGUGUUGUUCGGCAGCAGUAAUUUGUGCAAGACCUGAAUGAUCACAACUGACAUUUCUUUGAGUUAAACUAAACUUACGUUUAAUAAUAAAUGAACAAAUCCUCCAUGCACUGGGAACUGAAUGUGAAGGAAACUUGUUGAUAGCAGCAAAACAACUCGAGAGGAAGUAUAAACGGCGGGAGAAUAGAAGAGAAAGAAGCAGGUUAAAACAGGUUGUGAGUUAUGUUUACAACAGAGAUGUGAGUUAUGGUUACAACAGUUGCUGAAAAGCUGAAUGGACAGUGAUGUGAAAGCCCAGCAGCAACUUGCAUCGGGGUAUUGAAUAUUUAAAAAAAUUACAAAUGUUGCAAAUAUGAAACAACAAACAUUGGAGCAGGUCAGACAAUAAAUCAUGCAGAUCUUAUCAAUAAAUCAAUAAAUUAAAUAAUGCAGAUCUUAUGUCCUGACAUCAGCAUUUGUACCUGAACACACGGUAGAUCUGCAGAGUCUAAUAGGGAGGCACAAAUAUCCACAGAAUUUCCAGUUAUCAGACUGAGCUUGCGGUGGUAUUGGGAUAAAUCUGGU